GGGCGUUUGGUGUAGUGGUAUCACUCAUGCUUUGCAAGAGCGCGUUGUACUUCAAUGUGCACGGAAUAUGUAUGCGGUCAUGGGUUCAAACCCCAUAGCGUCCA